GGUCCAAUAGUGUAGAGGUUAUCACACGGGAUUCUGAUAAGACUGAAAAGGAUUGCCUUUUCCCGUGACCCAGGUUCGAGUCCUGGUUGGACCU